rnacentral:lncRNA from 1 species
AAGAUGAAAGUGAGAUAUCUUAUGUGGGAAACUUUAUCAAGAAAAAAUAUUGGUUCUGGUCAAAAGGGAUAACAAGGACUUACCUAAUCCUAUGGGUUCAGAUUCAAUCCAAAAAAAAAAAUCAAAAUCAAAAUCAAAAAAAGAAGAAAAAGAAAAAUCAAAGUCAAAAUGAAAAUGAAAAAGAGAGAAGGAAAAAAGGAAAAAAGGAAAAAUAAAAGGAGAG